GAUGAAGAACGCAGCGAAAUGCGAUAAGUAAUGUGAAUUGCAGAAUUCAGUGAAUCAUCGAAUCUUUGAACGCACAUUGGGCCCCUUGGUAUUCCGAGGGGCAUGCCUGUUCGAGCGUCAUUAUAACCCCUCAAGCUCAGCUUGGUGUUGGGGCCUGCUGCACUGGCAGCCCUUAAAAUCAGUGGCGGCGCCAUCUGGCUCUAAGCGUAGUAAUUCUUCUCGCUAUGGAGUCCUGGUGGAUGCUUGCCAUCAACCCCCAAUUUUUCUAUGGUUGACCUCGGAUCAGGUAGGGAUACCCGCUGAACUUAAGCAUAUCAAUAAGCGGAGGA
rnacentral:misc_RNA from 1 species